CUACGCUGCGAUAAGCCGUGGGGAGCUGCGAAGAAGCUUUGAUCCACGGAUUUCCGAAUGGGGAAACCCACCUUCGAUAGCCGGAACUCCAAGACCUCAGGUUUUGGGGCUGACCAGAAAUGAUCGGAACUGGAAUCUCGAGAGAGGUUUUGGAUUUCCGGUUAUCAAGCGAAGGUAUGAGACUUCUGAAUAAAAUAGGAGGUUUCAAGCAAACCCAGGGAACUGAAACAUCUAAGUACCUGGAGGAAAGGACAUCAACAGAGACUCCGCUAGUAGUGGCGAGCGAACGCGGACCAGGCCAGUGACACAUCAGAGACAACCAGAACCUGUCAGGAAAGCAGGGCCUCAGAGGGUGAUAGCCCCGUAUGGGUAACGCAAUGAUGUGUCCUUGAGUAAGGCGGGACACGUGCAAUCCUGUCUGAACGCGGGGGGACCACCCUCCAAGCCUAAGUACUCCUCAGCGACCGAUAGU
rnacentral:rRNA from 1 species